CCUACGGGAGGCAGCAGUGGGGAAUCUUGGACAAUGGGCGCAAGCCUGAUCCAGCCAUGCCGCGUGAGUGAUGAAGGCCUUAGGGUCGUAAAGCUCUUUCGCCAGGGAUGAUAAUGACAGUACCUGGUAAAGAAACCCCGGCUAACUCCGUGCCAGCAGCCGCGGUAAUACGGAGGGGGUUAGCGUUGUUCGGAAUUACUGGGCGUAAAGCGCGCGUAGGCGGAUCGGAAAGUUGGGGGUGAAAUCCCGGGGCUCAACCCCGGAACUGCCUUUAAUACUGCUAGUCUUGAGUUCGAGAGAGGUGAGUGGAAUUCCGAGUGUAGAGGUGAAAUUCGUAGAUAUUCGGAGGAACACCAGUGGCGAAGGCGGCUCACUGGCUCGAUACUGACGCUGAGGUGCGAAAGUGUGGGGAGCAAACAGGAUUAGAUACCCUGGUAGUCCACACCGUAAACGAUGAAUGCCAGUCGUCGGGUAGCAUGCUAUUCGGUGACACACCUAACGGAUUAAGCAUUCCGCCUGGGGAGUACGGUCGCAAGAUUAAAACUCAAAGGAAUUGACGGGG
rnacentral:rRNA from 1 species